UUCUCACCUGAUGUGUUUAAUCCAACACUCUCAGUUCUUUUAUCACAUCAUCUACACAUGUUCCAUGGUGGUCCAGCAGAAGGGGACGGACAGGCUCUCUAUAGUGGUUACCCGUUACCUUGUACAUCUGUGAACCAGCCUCUUCAGCAAACAUAUCAGAUAAGCAGCAGUCCUUAAUUUCAGGUUAUCUUUUCGCUUCACUUUUUCACAUUUUUUUUUCCUGCUCUGACUCGCCUAAUGACAUCUGAAAAAAAAAACAAAUAUGUCACCGCCCCUCAAAAAAACAACAACAUUUGCCCUAUAAGGAGGCCUAAAAAAGUAGAUGUCAAGUAUUUUCUGUUAAUAAGGACUGAUGAAAGAGGAAGUGUUUUUCUCAGGCCUGCUAUAGCUGGUCUGAUGUGUGCGUUAAAACUGACUUUAUCUAACUGAGUGGGUUUAUUUUUAGAGAGAUAAAGAUGUGAAAGACAAGAAAAAGUGUCAGGUUUCAGAAUACUGAACUGAAAAGUUAUUCUCACAGCUGUGGUUUUAUGAGGACCAAUGUUAGCCUCAAAUAUUAAAUUUCUGAGUCAGCUCUGUGGUGAAA